rnacentral:rRNA from 1 species
GAUGAACGCUGGCGGCGUGCUUAACACAUGCAAGUCGAACGGAAAGGCCCAAGCUUGCUUGGGUACUCAAGUGGCGAACGGGUGAGUAACACGUGGGUGAUCUGCCCUGCACUUCGGGAUAAGCCUGGGAAACUGGGUCUAAUACCGGAUAGGACCACAUUUUGGAUGGUGUGGUGGAAAGUUUUUCGGUGUGGGAUGAGCUCGCGGCCUAUCAGCUUGUUGGUGGGGUAAUGGCCUACCAAGGCGUCGACGGGUAGCCGGCCUGAGAGGGUGUACGGCCACAUUGGGACUGAGAUACGGCCCAGACUCCUACGGGAGGCAGCAGUGGGGAAUAUUGCACAAUGGGCGCAAGCCUGAUGCAGCGACGCCGCGUGGGGGAUGACGGCCUUCGGGUUGUAAACUCCUUUCGCUAGGGACGAAGCGUUAUGUGACGGUACCUGGAGAAGAAGCACCGGCUAACUACGUG